rnacentral:rRNA from 1 species
UGGGGAAUAUUGGACAAUGGGCGAAAGCCUGAUCCAGCCAUGCCGCGUGUGUGAAGAAGGUCUUCGGAUUGUAAAGCACUUUAAGUUGGGAGGAAGGGCAUUAACCUAAUACGUUAGUGUUUUGACGUUACCGACAGAAUAAGCACCGGCUAACUCUGUGCCAGCAGCCGCGGUAAUACAGAGGGUGCAAGCGUUAAUCGGAAUUACUGGGCGUAAAGCGCGCGUAGGUGGUUUGUUAAGUUGGAUGUGAAAUCCCCGGGCUCAACCUGGGAACUGCAUUCAAAACUGACUGACUAGAGUAUGGUAGAGGGUGGUGGAAUUUCCUGUGUAGCGGUGAAAUGCGUAGAUAUAGGAAGGAACACCAGUG